AAUAGCAUCUAGGGUGGCCAUUUAAGGACAGGGAAGAUUCUAGAAGGUAGACACGGCCAGGGGAACAACGACCACCAUACACAGCAAUGGUGCUUCGUGAUAUGAAGAGCUCUUCCCCACCCAACAAGUUCCUCCUUCUUACUCGGCUGUUAUUACCGCCCGUCGUUUGGGAUGGCAUGGAUGACUGGGCAUCCUUUUCCCAUCAGUCACCAGCAGCUUGGAAUUACUGCUUAAAGGGAACUUUUUCUGCCAGGGCGGAUCAGUAGGAGAGGGAAGCCAAAUCUUAACUACAGAACGAAGGACUACGGCGAAACUUCGUGAGAACGUCCUCAAAAUCAGACGAGUCUAUGCAGAUGGGAAAAGCAGAAGGUGCAGAUUCUGCGCAGGACUGCCAGAAGAGGGCACAGAGGUAGCUGUCCUUUUCAGACAACUUAGGUCUCUUCUCUUGAAUUUAAGGAGCAGACUAAAUGCCUAUCUGGGUGACUCAGUCACAAA